UGUUCUGUGGCUUAGCUGAUUAAAGCGCCGGUCUAGCGAAUACGGAGUUGUGGUUUCAAACCCCACCAGAGCGC
rnacentral:tRNA from 1 species